UCCCGCCGGACCUGACUGCUAUCGGAUUGAUACUAAGCCAUGCGAGUCAUUGUAGCAAUACAAGGCAGACGGCUCAGUAACGCGUAGUCAACCUACCCUAUGGACGGGGAUAACCUCGGGAAACUGAGAAUAAUGCCCGAUAGAACAUUAUGCCUGGAAUGGUUUAUGUUCCAAAUGAUUUAUCGCCGUAGGAUGGGACUGCGGCCUAUCAGUUUGUUGGUGAGGUAAUGGCCCACCAAGACUAUUACAGGUACGGGCUCUGAGAGGAGUAGCCCGGAGAUGGGUACUGAGACACGGACCCAGGCCCUAUGGGGCGCAGCAGGCGAGAAAACUUUGCAAUGUGCGAAAGCACGACAAGGUUAAUCCGAGUGGUUUCUGCUAAAGAAACCUUUUGUCAGUCCUAGAAACACUGAUGAAUAAGGGGUGGGCAAGUUCUGGUGU
rnacentral:rRNA from 1 species